ensembl:piRNA 21ur-1669 ncRNA
UAUUUUUUCUUCAAUAUCAUC